rnacentral:rRNA from 1 species
UCAUGGGCCUCAAAUAAUGUGUGGCUACCCCCUAAAUUUAAGCAU